rnacentral:snoRNA from 1 species
GUGAAUGAUUGAUAAAAAAAGAUAAGCGGAAACUAUCAACUCAUCUCAAAAAUUUAUUUAAAUCAUAAAGUAAUGUUGUCCUUAUA